UUAUCUGCAAAUCAUGUGAAAGGGCAAAGAUCCUAAACUCUUCAAAAAAUUACAGUAUAUUCUCAUUUUUGAAAUGUGGCAGAUAAGUAAACUCAAUCAACAGGGUAGACUGUGUCCCAGGCUAACUGAAUUUUGCUUUUUGCCAAUUAUGAGAUGUACAUUCACUUCUUCCCCUUUGCCAAGAGGAAAUAGUUUUGUGGAGGUGCAUACUCAUGGUCAAAUAUGGGAUUCAGACAUUUCAGAAAGAUAGGAAGAAAAGAACCUUGGAAAGGUGCUCUUGGAGUUACACCCUGUUGUUUUGUUACUUUGCUUUUUUUUUUUUUCUUUUUUCUGUGCCCAUGUGGUUAAAAAUAGACCUGCAGCAUCAUUUUCAGUAGUCUUUUGAAGAGCAAAAGUUUAUUUUGAAAAAGUCUAAUAUAUCUGUCUUUUUUUUCUUUUCACGCCUUUUGUGUUAGAUUUAAGAAAUUUUUGCCAAGUUCUCUAAGGUUUUUCUCCUAUAUUCUCUUCAAGAAGUUUUAUAGUUUUAGCUCUUACAUUUAGAAUGUGAAUGAUUUUAAUUUAAUUUUUGUGUAUGGUGUGAGGUAAGGGUUGUGAUUCAGCUAAAUAGUCCUUUGAUGAAUAUCCUUGUUAAUAGCUCUUCUCAUUACACUUCUUAAAUUAUUUCCUUAAGAUACAUUCUUAAAAGUGAAACUACAGCAUCAAAGUAGGUAUCUACACUGAAGUAUGAUGUAUGCUGCAAGGGUAGUUUUCAAAAGUUCUAUUAAUUAGAAAAGACAACCCCUAGAAUGGGAGAACAUAUUGACAAAGUAUGUAUUUAAUAAAUGAUGUAUAUUUAGAAUAUAUAAAGAAUUCUACAAAUUAAAAAUAACUCAAUUUAAAAAAAUGGACAAAGGACUUGAGUAGACAUUUUCCCAAAGAAGAUAUACAAAUGGCUAAUAAACAUGUGAAAAGAUGUUUAAUACCAAUAAUCGUUAGGGAAAUGCA